rnacentral:rRNA from 1 species
AUGUGCCUCUCCGGCCACCGCGACCACCAUGUCCUCCAGAUACGGCGGUCGUCCUACAAGAACAGCAUGGUGAUCCGGGUGGCGGAGCUGGAGGAGGUUGCAGACAUGUCCCUGGUGCAGCCAUACGUGGUCAACCACGAGAGGGUGAUGUACCUCAACCCGAGGCCGCAGGCGCCAGAGCGCGCCAUCAUGUGCUUCAGCCCCGCCGGCGCAUGCCUGAUGUGCGGCCGGAAACUCGUCGACGAAAUCUUCCGUUUCUGCUCCCUCGGCUACAAGCUUGAAGGAAUGGUGUCUGAUCCCAACUUUACAUUCAUUAUUGAUCCGGAAUGCAAGUGGGAAUACUUAGACUCAGACUCAACCAAAGAAGAAGAUGACGGCGGCCAUCUGCCAGGCCCUAGCAACUUUCAGCCAAUUGGAUGGACUAGUUACCGCCGCCAAUCAAGGAAGGGCGUUUGUGGCCCACCUCAACAGGCACCCUUCUACUGA